GGGAAUUAAAAGCAUACUCAUCAACAGUAUAAUCAAUUUGAGUAAUGUUCACCUCCACUUCGUUGAAGGUUGUCAAAGUCUCCUUAUCUGGUUCUUCCAUCUUCUUGUUUUGAAUAGGAGACCUCAACCAAUCAAAAGUAGUGGUGGAAGACAAAGAGGGUUUGCCUGGCUCAAAAUUGCUGCUUAUACAUGCCUGGUC
rnacentral:lncRNA from 1 species